GGCCUUGCUCUUAUGUCAUUUGACUAAAGGUUUCAUAGACCAAAGAUAACCAUCCAACUUGUUGGAAUACUGAAACAAUUGCUGCCUGCUGUCCACACACCACAUAAAAUAUGUGGAUUUUGUAAAUUCUGCAAAAAAGGUUUGGAAGCUGAUCAAUCAAUACUGGAACUCCCUCUUCUCCAGAAGAGACAUCCUGGCCUCCAUGCAGAGGAAUGUGUGGAUGGACAUAUAUUUAAGGAAGACACUAAACCAGAAACUACUACAUUACACCCUCUUAGAAGACUUCUAAGAUUGUUGUCAUGCCUACCACAGACAUUCAGAUGAUGUGUAUUGUUGAUUGUGAUUUCAUGUUUGGACCUGAUGAAGGAGUUUGAAGUCUCCAGAGCAGCAAAGAGAGUGGGGAGUAGAACUAUUCAUCUUUAGGUCACUCAUCAUCG
rnacentral:lncRNA from 1 species